GACGAAGGAUGCAAGCGUUAUCCGGAUUCAUUGGGUUUAAAGGGUGCGUAGGCGGACUUGUAAGUCAGUGGUGAAAUCUCUUUGCUUAACAAAGAAACUGCCAUUGAUACUGCAGGUCUAGAGUAUAGAUGACGUUGGCGGAAUAUGACAUGUAGUGGUGAAAUACUUAGAUAUGUCAUAGAACACCAAUUGCGAAGGCAGCUCACUACACGAAUAUUGACACUGAGGCACGAAAGCGUGGGGAUCAAACAGG
rnacentral:rRNA from 1 species